rnacentral:tRNA from 1 species
UUUAGCUCAGUUUUUAGAGCGCUCCACUUGUAAUGGAGAGGUCCCGGGUUCAAUACUCGGAA